GGUUAAGCGACUAAGCGUACACGGUGGAUGCCCUGGCAGUCAGAGGCGAUGAAGGACGUGCUAAUCUGCGAUAAGCGUCGGUAAGGUGAUAUGAACCGUUAUAACCGGCGAUUUCCGAAUGGGGAAACCCAGUGUGUUUCGACACACUAUCAUUAACUGAAUCCAUAGGUUAAUGAGGCGAACCGGGGGAACUGAAACAUCUAAGUACCCCGAGGAAAAGAAAUCAACCGAGAUUCCCCCAGUAGCGGCGAGCGAACGGGGAGCAGCCCAGAGCCUGAAUCAGUGUGUGUGUUAGUGGAAGCGUCUGGAAAGGCGCGCGAUACAGGGUGACAGCCCCGUACACAAAAAUGCACAUGCUGUGAGCUCGAUGAGUAGGGCGGGACACGUGGUAUCCUGUCUGAAUAUGGGGGGACCAUCCUCCAAGGCUAAAUACUCCUGACUGACCGAUAGUGAACCAGUACCGUGAGGGAAAGGCGAAAAGAACCCCGGCGAGGGGAGUGAAAAAGAACCUGAAACCGUGUACGUACAAGCAGUGGGAGCCUCUUUAUGGGGUGACUGCGUACCUUUUGUAUAAUGGGUCAGCGACUUAUAUUCUGUAGCAAGGUUAACCGAAUAGGGGAGCCGAAGGGAAACCGAGUCUUAACUGGGCGUUAAGUUGCAGGGUAUAGACCCGAAACCCGGUGAUCUAGCCAUGGGCAGGUUGAAGGUUGGGUAACACUAACUGGAGGACCGAACCGACUAAUGUUGAAAAAUUAGCGGAUGACUUGUGGCUGGGGGUGAAAGGCCAAUCAAACCGGGAGAUAGCUGGUUCUCCCCGAAAGCUAUUUAGGUAGCGCCUCGUGAAUUCAUCUCCGGGGGUAGAGCACUGUUUCGGCAAGGGGGUCAUCCCGACUUACCAACCCGAUGCAAACUGCGAAUACCGGAGAAUGUUAUCACGGGAGACACACGGCGGGUGCUAACGUCCGUCGUGAAGAGGGAAACAACCCAGACCGCCAGCUAAGGUCCCAAAGUCAUGGUUAAGUGGGAAACGAUGUGGGAAGGCCCAGACAGCCAGGAUGUUGGCUUAGAAGCAGCCAUCAUUUAAAGAAAGCGUAAUAGCUCACUGGUCGAGUCGGCCUGCGCGGAAGAUGUAACGGGGCUAAACCAUGCACCGAAGCUGCGGCAGCGACGCUUAUGCGUUGUUGGGUA
rnacentral:rRNA from 1 species